rnacentral:rRNA from 1 species
GCUUAACGCGAAGAACCUUACCAAGGCUUGACAUAUACGAGAACGCUCUAGAGAUAGAGAACUCUUUGGACACUCGUAUACAGGUGGUGCAUGGUUGUCGUCAGCUCGUGUCGUGAGAUGUUGGGUUAAGUCCCGCAACGAGCGCAACCCUCGUCUACGUUGCCAGCGGUUCGGCCGGGAACUCAUAGGAGACUGCCGGGGUCAACUCGGAGGAAGGUGGGGAUGACGUCAAAUCAUCAUGCCCCUUAUGUCUUGGGCUUCACGCAUGCUACAAUGGCCGGUACAAAGGGCUGCAAUACCGCAAGGUGGAGCGAAUCCCAAAAAGCCGGUCUCAGUUCGGAUUGAGGUCUGCAACUCGACCUCAUGAAGUCGGAGUCGCUAGUAAUCGCAGAUCAGCAACGCUGCGGUGAAUACGUUCCCGGGUCUUGUACACACCG